UGGGGAAUAUUGCACAAUGGGCGCAAGCCUGAUGCAGCCAUGCCGCGUGUAUGAAGAAGGCCUUCGGGUUGUAAAGUACUUUCAGCGGGGAGGAAGGCGAUAAGGGUUAAUAACCUUGUCGAUUGACGUUACCCGCAGAAGAAGCACCGGCUAACUCCGUGCCACAGCCGCGGUAAUACGGAGGGUGCAAAGCGUUAAUCGGAAUUACUGGGCGUAAAGCGCACGCAGGCGGUCUGUCAAGUCGGAUGUGAAAUCCCCGGGCUCAACCUGGGAACUGCAUUCGAAACUGGCAGGCUGGAGUCUUGUAGA
rnacentral:rRNA from 1 species